rnacentral:rRNA from 1 species
CCUACGGGAGGCAGCAGUGGGGAAUAUUGCACAAUGGGGGAAACCCUGAUGCAGCGACGCCGCGUGAGUGAAGAAGUAAUUCGUUACGUAAAGCUCUAUCAGCAGGGAAGAAAAUGACGGUACCUGAGUAAGAAGCCCCGGCUAACUACGUGCCAGCAGCCGCGGUAAUACGUAGGCGGCAAGCGUUAUCCGGAUUUACUGGGUGUAAAGGGAGCGUAGACGGUGCGCCAAGUCUGUAGUGAAAUGCCGCAGCUUAACUGCGGAACUGCAUUGGAAACUGGCGAACUAGAGUGCAGGAGGGGUAGGCGGAAUUCGUAGUGUAGCGGGGAAAUGCGUAGAUAUUAGGAAGAACACCGAUUGCGAAGGCGGCUUACUAAACCGUAACUGACGUUGAGGCUCGAAAGCGUGGGGAGCAAACAGGAUUAGAUACCCGUGUAGUC